CCACCUGACCCCAUGCCGAACUCAGAAGUGAAACGCCGUAGCGCCGAUGGUAGUGUGGGGUCUCCCCAUGUGAGAGUAGGGAACUGCCAGACA
rnacentral:rRNA from 1 species